GCAACCAUUUUUCUUCAACUGGACUUGGAACUCAAUCUAUAUUAACAGUUUAUGGCUGCAUAUUUAAGCUGACACGCUUGCAUUCGCUUUCUCGACGGUCUGGCAGCGCUGCCACAAAAACACCAGAUGGCAAUUUAUCGGCGAUAGUCGACAACAGCAAACUUUUUGAAAAGUCCGUUAUAAAGUAGAAAAGUUAUGAAGUUUCGUUAUGAAUGGUAAAACAAACUGCUCAAUGCAGUUAGGAAAUAAAAUAUUUUUUAUAUCAAUGUUGACAUGUUGGUAAAACCAAA